GUGACCGGCCGUGCAUCCCGACCGUGCAUCCCGGCCCCGCACCCGGCCCCGCAGCUCCCCGACACCGCCGGCCCCAGCGCUGGCCCUGGGGAAACUCCUUCUGCUCACACCGCCGGCGGGGCUGCCCCCGCCCCGAGCCGGUGCGCCGCAGCGCCGGGGCUACCUGGCACCCUGCAGCUCGGGCCGGCCGCCGUGUGGGGAUGAGGGAGACCCGCGCACAGGGCCCUGCUGUGUGAGCCACGUAAUGUACGUAAUAACCUGUCCAUCUCCGAGGGCACCGUAACUAACAGUGUGACCCACGAGCAAAACCCGACGCGCUUUCGAGUGACAUAACCAGCGGGGAAAAAAAAAAAAAACCACCCAAAAAAACCACCCAAAACCAAAAACCACAGGAAAAGGCACCAAACUGGGUGUCUGUCUGUCACCAGGUUUGGGAUAAGUCUGGGCUGCAAACACAGCCGAAAUGGAAGCUCAGCCUGCCUGGCA